CGGUGAUGGCGGGCGAAUCCACGUGGCGAGCCAUUUGAAUGCGAUGGCCUCACAUCUUUACGAAGGUAUAAUUUCUAAAUUUAACGGUAACGACAAAACACUCAGCUCUUCUAAAUGGCUGCUAGAUUUAGAUGAAAACGGCGAGCUAUUUGGGUGGACACCGGCACAAAAACUUAUCGUGGCGCGGCGUUGUCUGACGGGCAGCGCGGAGCUGUGGGUCAGGUCAGAAAAAGUAUUUAAAAGUUAUGAUGAUUUUAAAACGGCGUUAUUAAAGGAAUUUCCCGACUCGGUCAAUAUUAAAGAACUGCAUGAGCUAAUGUCGGCAAGGAAGAAAAAAAAAGAUGAGACUUAUUAUUAGUAUAUGCUCGUUAUGAAGGAGUUGGGAAGGAGAGGAAAAAUCCCUGACUAUAUAGCGAUACAGUAUAUAGUUGAUGGAAUAAUUGAUUAUGAGUGUAAUAAAGCUAUUUUGUAUGGUGUCACUACAUAUCCUAUGCUAAAAGAAAAAUUGACUAUUUAUGAAAAUAUGAAAAAGAAGAUAGCAAAAAAUCGUCAGGAUUCACCACAAUUAUCAUCAAAAGAAAAGAAAGCCGAUUGUGCAUCGGUUCGACGCUGUUUCAAGUGUGGUGAAAAAGAUCACAUAGCAAGUAAAUGUAAAAAUGGUGUUAAAUGCUACAAAUGUAACGAGUUCGGCCAUAUUGCGACGUCAUGCGUUGAAGGGCGGGAUGGUGAGAAGUUCAACAAACGACAUGAAGUUGGCGUUAGUGAAGCUCGCGCGGCAAGAUGGCAGCCUCGCGCUAUGUACUUGAAGUCGGCAGCGAAUGCGCAGGCGACUUCCGGUGGUGAUGACGUCACAGCCGGAGAGCGUUCUGACACUACUGAUCAAAAUGGCGGCGCAAGCGACAGCUCUGAAAGGCGUAUCUGUCAAAGCUGUCAAUGUCAACAGGCGUUAAAUGUGAACAUACAGUGUAGGAAUAAUAAAUCAGUGAAAUUAAUUGAAAUUGGUGGUUUAAAAGUUGAAUGUUUAAUAGAUUCCGGUAGUGAUCUAAAUUUAAUAUCGCAAGACUUGUUUUUCGAACUAAGUGUUACCUCCUACGUAAAGGAAAAUAUAGAAUUUACUGGACUUGGUGCUACAAAGAUUUAUUCAUUAGGGAAGAUUGAAUGUGAAGUAGACUUUGAUGGACACUGCUUUAGUUAUAUAUUUUAUGUUGUGCCCAAAGGGGUUAUGCCUUAUAAUGUAAUUUUAGGUCAACCAUUUCUGCAAAACACAAACCUUGUUUUCAAUAAAGGGGUAGUGAAUGUUUGGUCACAAGAGAAUGGUGGUAUGUCACAUUGCUUGUUUACAGGUGUUACAGAAGAACCAAUUGUGUAUGUGCCAGAUCAGAAGCUAAAGACUGAAGUGGAGGAUCUUGUGAAAAAAUAUUCUCCUGUUCAAACCAAGGAGGCACCUAUUGAGAUGCACAUUGUUAUGAAGGAUGACAUUCCUGUCGCACAGAGACCAAGGCGUUUGGCUAUCAAAGAACAACAGUUGGUAGAUAAUCAAGAACCAGAUUGCGGAGGAUGGAGUGCUGAUAUUCAUUGACGAUGUAAUAAUACCAGCAAUAUCGUAUAAGCAAGGAGUAGAGAAGCUAAGGAAAGUCCUGCAAAGAGCGGCUGAGUAUGGUUUGCAAAUCAACUGGCGAAAGAGUGAGUUACUUACAACUAGAGUUGAGUAUCUAGGACAUGUGAUUGAAAAUAAUACUAUAAAACCAUCUACUGAUAAGACAGAUGCAGUGAUUAGAUUUCCACAACCUAAAAAUCAGAAGGAGUUACAAAGUUUUGUUGGACUUACCUCGUACUUUCGAAAAUUUAUUUUGGAUUAUUCAAUGAUAGCGAAACCUCUUACAGAUCUACUCAAAAAGGAUAAACAUUUUUAUUUUGGCAUAAAAGAAACUCAUGCUUUUCAGAUGUUGAAGCAGAAGUUAACAGAACAUCCCGUGUUGAGAAUUUUUGACCCAGCUUUGGAGACACAGUUGCACACGGAUGCUUCUCAGAUGUAGAUAAGAAGCUAGAUGACUAUAUGUUGACGUGCAUACCUUGCAUACUAGC